GAGAGAGAGAGAGAAAUACGAGGAUGCAAAGAUACGCAGAGCGUCUUCAGUGCAGCCGAAAACGUGAAUAGUAGGAGGAAUGGAGAAAGACUGAUUUAUCUUUCGUUCUCGUUCAUAGUUUAUUUUGAAACGUCAGUGUCGGUGGUUAUACGCGCACGUUUCACCCUCUCUUCGAUUUCACGUCGUGAAAUAGAAGCGCCGGGUUUGUUGGUGGGGUCAACGCACCGUAUACGAUCGAUCGUGAUUGGUCGUUCGCGGUGACGUUAACCAAUCGGGUUGCGCCCUUCCUCCUUAGUCGAAAGUUAGCUGCACGAGUGAGCCAGUCGUUGCUGCAAGCUUCGAAGGUGCGGUCGUUGUGUCUGUGUCGUUGCCACUCGUGCUGUGUUUUUGCGAGUGUGUUUCUCUUUUCCCCCCUUUUACUCGUUUGUUUUUUUUUCUUCUCCUUCUUCUCUCUUCUCGUUCAUACGUUUAUACGACACAUCGCGACGACGAUAAAGAAUUAUCAACGAAAUAUGUAAAGAACGUUCACGUGUCGACGAUAUUUCAUAUUUGUGCAUCUCGUGCCGGUGACAGAGACGAUAAUUAUCUUUCCUGUGGAGAAGUCAGGACACGAUUCAGGACGACAGAUCUUCCGAAGAUUUUCUCACGGGAAAACGGGCGCUACGAUCAUCGAAUUGGCCAGGGAGAAAUUUCAUACUCCCGUUUAAGAAGAAUCGUUAUAAUUUAACCCCAGUGUUUUACUCGAAGAAGAGAAAUGUAACCGGUCCGUGUGUUAUCAUUGAGAGAGAGAGAGAGAGAGAG